AUAUUUUAUAUUUAUUAAAAGUAACUAUUGUUUUAAUAAAAAGUAAUUAUGCAUAUGAAGAAAUGUAAUAUUUUAAUAUUAUUACUUUUUUCACAAAAAUUGUUAUUUUUACUCACGAAAACUUGUAAUUUUAAUAUUUGGUUAAGUAAUUAUAGUCGUAAGAAAAAAUAACCAUUAAUGUGAAUAAAGGUAAUAUUAAAAAAAGCAUAAAUAAAUGGGGAAAAUAGAAAAAUGUUUAAAAAGUGUUGAAAAUAAAAAAUUAAACAAAAAAAGGCAUAAAACAAAAAACUGAAGAAAAAUGAAAAAAUGAAAAAGACAAAAAACUGAAAAAAGAAAAAUAAGCAAAAAAGGAACCAAAAGAAAAAGAAAAAAGAAUAAAGGAAAAAAACGAUAAAGUGAAAGAGGAGCAAAAAAAAAUCGAAAAAAAGAAAAAAAAAUAGAAGCAAAAAAUGGAACCAAGAAAAACAGGGCAAAGGGAUUCAAACCCUUGCCCACUUGGAAGAAUGCACGCAGUCAUUACCAGUGCACCAGAAAUUACUUUUGGUUUUGUGUACUAAAACCUUUUAUAUAAAUAUUGGAUCCGGGUCUGGUUGGACCC
rnacentral:lncRNA from 1 species